UGGCGACGGGUGAGUAACGCGUGGAUAACCUGCCGUAUACCGGGGGAUAACACUUAGAAAUAGGUGCUAAUACCGCAUAAGCGCACGGCUCCGCAUGGGGCAGUGUGAAAAACUCCGGUGGUAUACGAUGGAUCCGCGUCUGAUUAGCUAGUUGGCGGGGUAACGGCCCACCAAGGCAGCGAUCAGUAGCCGGCCUGAGAGGGUGGACGGCCACAUUGGGACUGAGACACGGCCCAAACUCCUACGGGAGGCAGCAG
rnacentral:rRNA from 1 species